UCCAAGGGGGCCCACCUAGCCAACGCUGGGGAGGCGGUGGCCGCAAGUUUGAUUCUGGCCUUGUGUCCCAUCAGCCACCUACGUCUGGGCGAGCCACACCGCCUCUCCUAGCCUCGGUUUCCCUGUGUGAAGGCCAGGGCCGCUGUGACAACAGAACGAACAAGGCACGCAGGCGCUGACCGGCGGCCGGGACCCCCGGGCGCUCAAUAGCUGGUCCCCACGCCCAGAAGGGCCGCAAAGGUGGCCAGGAGGCCGUCCGGGGUCCAGGCUCUCACCACAGCCUCUCACAGACACCAAUCCUUCCGUUUCACCAAGACCAACACCGGCCACCACAGCGCGGAAAGGUGGCCGCUGUGCUCCGGCCCUCGGACCCGGGCCCGUGAACUGGGGUUUCAUUGUGGGCACUCCUAUUGGAGAUUUAUCAGACGUGGGCCCCGGAACUGCACCCUCAGGGCCAACCCGUUGGCCCCCAUCUCUCCUCUGGCCCUUUAUGUGGCCGGGAGCUGAGGCGGUGACCACGGGUGGCUCUGUGCGGGGUAGAGGGGAUGGCGUGGAGGGGCCGUGGCUGCGCCUGCCUCCCCGGACCACGGCCUUCCGUCAGUGACUAAUGGAGGGAGGGACGGCCCGGACACCUCAGGCCAGGCUGCCAGGGGAAUGCUUUCAUACGCUUUAUGCCCGGGCAGGGCCGGUCAUGCCCAGAGUGCGAGCGGUGGGGAGAGAGGGAGGGAGCGAGGACUCUGGCCUCCCGCACAGCCACGUGACCAGCUCGCCAGCUGAUGACAGAGACAAAGCAGGCCCGAACCUGCAGGUCCAGUGCCGGCCCGGAGCCCAGGCGAGUCUGGGUGACGGAUGUGCAACCCCCGUGCCAUGUGCUGCAGCUUCUCUUACCGUCAAACCACGCUCGCGCGGGCUGCAGCCCGGCCCCGUCGUCUUGUUAUCAUUUAAAAUGUAAUUACAAACGGCUGAUUUGAAGGGACAAAUCGCCCUGAAAACGUGGAAGGCGAAUGUAGACUUAAGAGCCCAAAUCAGCAGGUAAAGAUUUCAGCUAAAGCCCUCCCGCCCCCUGGAAUCCCAGACCUGCGCGGGCCCUUUGCGGGAAGCCAGCCCGGCACGGGAGCCAGCCCAGCCGGGAGCCAGCCGCAUUCCUUGAUGAACCUGAAGGGGGAAAUCUGUUACUCCUGGAAAAAAAAAAAAAAAUGGCCUCUUUGCUCCGUCCGUCCGUCUCAGGCACAUGUUUUCUGACCACGGCGACCAGCCCCGCCGACCGUAAGAGCGGCUGCCGCUGCCCGCGGGUCACGGCUCAGCCCAGAAAGCCUCUCCGGCCGCUGAUUAAACAAACGGAGGCCCCGUCUGCAGCUGCGCUGUCCACGCAGGUUUCUGAGCCGUCCCGGCAAACAAGUCUCCAACCCAAACUUUGAAUUUUACUUUUGAACUACACCCCGCCCCCCAAUAAAAGGUGAAUAAAAGCUUCU